GACGAACGCUGGCGGCGUGCUUAAUACAUGCAAGUAGAACGCAGUUGCGAACGGGUGAGUAACGCGUAGGUAACUGCCCCAUUGCGGGGGAUUAACAUUGGAAACGAUAGCUAAUACCGCAUACUGUGAGCUGGACCUGCGUUGUAUUUGCUAGUUGGUGGGGUAAAGGCUCACCAAGGUGACGAUACAUAAUCGGCGUGGGAGGGAGGACGGGCACACUGGGACUGGGAACCGGCCCAAGCUCCGUCGGGAGGGAGCAGUAGGGGAACUUCGGCAAUGGACGGAAGUCUUACCGAGCAACGCCGCGUGGGUGGAGAAGGUUUUCGGGUCGGAAAGCUCUGUUGUUAGAGGAGCGGUACCUAACCAGAAAGGAACGGCUAACUACGUGCCAGCAGCCGCGGUAAUAC
rnacentral:rRNA from 1 species